rnacentral:rRNA from 1 species
UACAGAGGUCUCAAGCGUUGUUCGGAUUCAUUGGGCGUAAAGGGUGCGUAGGUGGCGCUGUAAGUCAGGUGUGAAAUUUCGGAGCUCAACUCCGAAACUGCAUUUGAUACUGCGGUGCUUGAGGACUGGAGAGGAGAUUGGAAUUCACGGUGUAGCAGUGAAAUGCGUAGAUAUCGUGAGGAAGACCAGUGGCGAAGGCGGAUCUCUGGACAGUUCCUGACACUGAGGCACGAAGGCCAGGGGAGCAAACGGGG